AAAGAGUGCGUAAUAGCUCACUGGUCGAGUGAAGUUGCGCGGAAAAUUACCGGGGCUAAACUAUACACCGAAAUUGCGGAUUCAUGAGUAAUCAUGAGUGGUAGAGGAGCAUUCUGUUGUAGGAAGAAGUGUGACCGAAAGGACAUGUGGACGAAGCAGAAGAGAGAAUGCCGGAAUAAGUAGCGAAAGCAUGGUGAGAAUCCAUGCCAUCGAAAGUCUAAGGUUUCCUGGGGAAGGUUCGUCCGCCCAGGGUAAGUCGGGACCUAAGGUGAGGCCGAAAGGCGUAGCCGAUGGACAGCAGGUAGAAAUUCCUGCACUACCGAAAUACUUAAAAGAUGCAAGGGACACAGGAGUGGAAGGAAAGCGAGGAAGAGGAAAGACUCGUAUCGAAAGAUAUAGUGAAAAUUAAAGUAACGAAUUUCCAAGAAGCACACUGGCGAGAAAAGCUUGUAGAUAUUGUAUAGAGGUACCCGUACCGCAAACCGACACAGGUAGAUGAGGAGAGGAUCCUAAGAUGAGCGAGAGAAGCAUUGUUAAGGAACUCGGCAAACCAACCCCGUAACUUAGGGAGAAGGGGUGCCUAUGUAAAAAUAGGCCGCAGAGAAGAGGCCCAAGCAACUGUUUAACAAAAACACAGGUUUCUGCUAAAUCGAAAGAUGAAGUAUAGGAGCUGACGCCUGCCCAGUGCUGGAAGGUUAAGGGAAAAUGUAAGUACAGAAGUAUGAAGCAUAGAACCAAAGCCCCAGUGAACGGCGGCCGUAACUAUAACGGUCCUAAGGUAGCGAAAUUCCUUGUCAGGUAAGUUCUGACCCGCACGAAAGGCGUAAUGAUUUGGGCGCUGUCUCGACAAUGUACUCGGCGAAAUUGUAGUACUAGUGAAGAUGCUAGUUACCUGCGACAAGACAGAAAGACCCCAUGGAGCUUUACUGUAGCUUGAUACUGGGUUUCGAUAAUUUAUGUACAGGAUAGGUGGGAUGCAAAGAAGCAAGUGCGCCAGCAUUUGUGGAGCAGACGUUGGGAUACCACCCUUAAGUUAUUGGAAUUCUAACCUGUAGUCAUGAACUGGCUAGGGGACAAUGUCAGGCGGGCAGUUUGACUGGGGCGGUCGCCUCCAAAAGAGUAACGGAGGCGCGCAAAGGUUUCCUCAGCGCGGACAGAAAUCGCGCAAGAGAGUGCAAAGGCAGAAGGAAGCUUAACUGAGAGACUGACAAGUCGACCAGAUACGAAAGUAGGUCUUAGUGAUCCGGCGGUAGUGAGUGGAAAUGCCGUCGCUCAACGGACAAAAGUUACCCUGGGGAUAACAGGCUUAUCUCCCCCAAGAGUUCACAUCGACGGGGAGGUUUGGCACCUCGAUGUCGGCUCAUCACAUCCUGGAGCGGAAGUACGUUCCAAGGGUUGGGCUGUUCGCCCAUUAAAGUGGUACGCGAGCUGGGUUCAGAACGUCGUGAGACAGUUCGGUCCUUAUCUGUCGCAGGCGCAGGAUAUUUGAGG
rnacentral:rRNA from 1 species